rnacentral:sRNA from 1 species
AAAUAUUGUUUCCAACGCCACACACGCGCCGACACAUGAUGCUGGGUGCCCAUCCGCGGGUUGCAUCAUGGGGCGCGUGGAGGUUCAAC